rnacentral:tRNA from 1 species
AGAGGGUAUCCGGCUGGAUGAGGAGCUUGUCUUGAAAACAAGUAGCGGGUUACUCCGUUGUGAGUUCGAGUCUCACACCCUCUG